rnacentral:rRNA from 1 species
AUGGGCUUUGGGUUAUGUAGAUCCAAAAUGAUGAAUGGGAUUGUGGCACUCCACUCGCCGCCAAUGCGGAAGGAUGCCGCCGAAAAGAAUGGAACGCUGCUUCGCUCUGUUGGAUGCGUCGGAUCCCAUAUAAGAAGCUCGCUCUUUACCCGAUCAUUGAAACAUUUUGUGGGCGGCGCGCCUGCUCUAUUGUUGCGUAGCAAUAGAAGCCUGCUCAUGCUGCUUCGGCGGCGCUUUUUUGCCUUCUCUUCGCUCUGGACAGGAGCGCUAAUGGACACGGGGAGGGAGCAGGCGAAGCGUGUCGUUCGUAAUGGAAAGAAAGACACCACUACUUCGCCUCUUUGUUGGACCGCCGGCGCGAACACGGUGGUCUCUGACCAGGACCAGGAACCAAUUCGAAUUUGGAUCUUGACAUGUCGGUUGUUUUUAACCGUAGGCAUCUCGCCAGGAAGUUGGUGGGCUCAUCAUGAAUUAGGUCGGGGUGGCUGGUGGUUUCGGGAUCCCGUAGAAUAUGCGUCUUUUAUGCCUCGGGUGUUAGCCACAGCUCGUAUUCAUUCAGUAAUUCUACCCCUUCUUCAUUCUUGGACCUCGCUUCUGAAUAUUUUGACUCUUCCAUGCUGUGUCUUAGGAACCUUUUCAAUACGGUCCGGAUUGCUAGCUCCCGUUCAUAGUUCCUCUACAGACGAUACACGAGGAAGAUUUUUAUGGCGGUUCUUCCUUCUAAUUACAGGCAUAUCUAUGACUCUUUUUUACCAGAUGAAGCAGGAGGCAUCGGUCCGUAGAACCUAUAAAAAAGAGAUGGUUGUGGCGCGAAGUACUCUUGUGCACCUACGUCACUCGGCUCGCGCAGCCAGCAACUGGCUGCCGGAUUUCGUCCCGUCCGUAGCGCUUCGGAAGUCACUCUGGCGUGGCGCUGCUGGAUACUUCUGA